UGCAGUCNACGGAACUUUUCGGAGUUCAGUGGCGGACGGGUGAGUAAUGCGUGAGAAUCUGGCUUCAGGUUCGGGACAACCAUUGGAAACGAUGGCUAAUACCGAAUGUGCCGCAGGGUGAAAGAUUAAUCGCCUGAAGAUGAGCUCGCGUCUGAUUAGCUAGUUGGUGGGGUAAGAGCCUACCAAGGCGACGAUCAGUAACUGGUCUGAGAGGAUGACCAGUCACACUGGGACUGAGACACGGCCCAGACUCCUACGGGAGGCAGCAGUGGGGAAUUUUCCGCAAUGGGCGAAAGCCUGACGGAGCAAUACCGCGUGAGGGAGGAAGGCUCUAGGGUUGUAAACCUCUUUUCUCAGGGAAGAACAAAAUGACGGUACCUGAGGAAUAAGCAUCGGCUAACUCCGUGCCAGCAGCCGCGGUAAUACGGAGGAUGCAAGCGUUAUCCGGAUUUAUUGGGCGUAAAGCGUCCGCAGGUGGCAGUUCAAGUCUGCUGUUAAAGGUCGGGGCUCAACCCUGAACAGGCAGUGGAAACUGAACAGCUAGAGUACGGUAGGGGCAGAAAGGAAUUUCNCAGUGUAGCGGUGAAAUGCGUAGAGAUUGGGAAGAACACCGGUGGCGAAAGCGCUCUGCUAGGCCGAAACUGACACUCAUGGACGAAAGCUNGGGAGCGAAUGGGAUUANAUACCCCAGUAGUCCUAGCCGUAAACGAUGGAUACUNNCGUNGUGAGUAUCGACCCNNCNCANUGUCGUAGCUAACNNCGUAAGUAUCCCGCCUGGGGGAGUACG
rnacentral:rRNA from 1 species